CUCUCUUCGAACCGUUGGAAGAAGAACGUGUAAUAGCACUUCGGAAACUAUGUACAGGGUAGUUCAUUCUAAAGCCGGAUAUCGGGUGAAUAAUGGCGUCCACGUUUGUGACAUCUAUGAGCUCAAGCAACCAAUUAGCACCUGUUUGCACGUGAACUCAUCCGAUCUAUCAAGAGCAACGAAAUGAAUAAACUUGUCUAACUUAUCAAA